AUCUCAGUCAAGUUUUCUUGGAUUCCUCCUUUUUCUUAAAUCUUUGUCAUUCCUUCUAGGCUGAUUUUGUUGGGAUCUGGAGGUCUGUCCACCUUUCUCCAGCAGAGGGCGUUCUAGGUCUCCUGGGGCUGAAGCUGACCACCACACCUGCGGCUCAUGAGCUCAUCAGGGGACCAGCAUUUAAGGAGGGGCAGAGCUACAAUCCGACGGCAGAGUGUUUGCCAGUUAUGGAAGAACCUGCCUGGAAUCCUGAAGACCUGGAAGGAUUUCUCAAGCGUGAGACCAAGCGGUCUGUUCUCAGAAGAACGCUGGAAAUCCAACUCAGUCUGAAACCUGCCUGCCCGCUCUGAAGAGAAGCUCUGAACCUGCUCAGUAAGAUUAUCUGCUCUGCCCUGCCUCUGCGUGCCUUCAGCCUCUGGACCCUCCUGGUUCCCCCCCUUCUACCGCUCAGCUCAUCUCUGAUCAGUGAAAACCAGUCGUGACCAGACCCGGACCCACUUUAUCCCAGAACCAGUGUUCUUUAUUUGUUAUUAUUUCUUUAAUAAACUUGUAAACUUUUUCCCAGCCUCUGAGUGUUCUGCAUGUGGGUUAGAUCCCUUAAAGCCAACAUGACAGAUUUAUGAGGCUGAACUAUUUACUGAGCUGUCUGGUCAAAACCUUUUAACCUGCUGCAUGCCCCCACCUUUUGCUAAGAUAAGAUCCUUUGUCAUCUGAAAUGGAGCUCUUAGACUUUACUUUUUUUUUUUCCCUAAUAACGUCUGGUGGGGUUUAAAUGGUUACCUAAACAUUUUUUUUCGAUCCCUUUUAUGUUUUGACCCAUAGGGGACCAUGAGUCAAAAGGGAGGACUAGGAAAUGGAUGGACAAAAAUUGGUUAACAGUUAAUUUUUCUCAAAAAGCAACAAAGUUUGUGAAAGUUUAAUCUGUGCAUGUAAAAACAUUUCUAGAGGAAAGAAAAUGAUGGGCCAAGGAGCCACA